UACGGUGGGAGCAAGCGUUGUUCGGAUUUACUGGGAGUAAAGGGCGCGUAGGCGGCUUGACAAGUCACUUGUGAAAUCUCCGGGCUUAACUCGGAACGGCCAAGUGAAACUGUCAUGCUAGAGUGCAGAAGGGGCAAUCGGAAUUCUUGGUGUAGCGGUGAAAUGCGUAGAUAUCAAGAGGAACACCUGAGGUGAAGACGGGUUGCUGGGCUGACACUGACGCUGAGGCGCGAAAGCCAGGGGAGCAAACGGG
rnacentral:rRNA from 1 species